UUAUCUGAAAUUAAUUAUUGAAGCUUUUCAAAACUACGGACAUUUCUGUGGGUGAAUUUUUAAAAAAUACGCCUUACGCAAUCGUGGUUUUUGACGAACAUGAUGAUUUCGAUAAUAAGUUGAUAGACCUUGUUCCAACUUCAUGGAUAAUUAUUAAUGAGGAUGACGAGGAAUGUUUGUAUCAAUAUCCACCAAUUGAAAUAGCAAGAACCCAGCUAACUAAGUGGUUGAAAGAACUGAAAAAACCUGACAAGAAUUGGACAAGUCACCAAGUUGAGGUUAAACUUCGUGCUCAUGAUUACAAACAAGGUCUAAGAAGACUUCAGCGAGCUUUUACAACUGCUCAAGCAGCUAGCGAGUCCGAAGAUUCAUAUAAACCGACGUUAUGAUGUGAGACGGUACACGAAGAAAUACAAGCUAUAUUAAAUGAAUCCUCUUCAUUGAACAAUGAAUCAAUAGUGGCUAAAUAAAAUUGUAAUGAAAACCAAUCGACGAAAGAUUCUGAGAGUUCAAAAACAAGUAUUCACAAUAAAACAGCAAAUAAUGCAAACUUAUCUUUAAAGUGAACAUUUUAAUUUAAUAUGUAGCUAAUCUGAGUGGUGCUGAAGGAA